rnacentral:rRNA from 1 species
UCGAUGACCGAUAGUGAACCAGUACCGUGAGGGAAAGGUGAAAAGCACCCCGAUGAGGGGAGUGAAAGAGACCUGAAACCGGACGCCUACAAGCAGUGGGAGCCUCUUUACGGGGUGACCGCGUACCUUUUGUAUAAUGGGUCAGCGACUUAAUUUGUCGAGCAAGCUUAAACCGGUAGGUGUAGGCGCAGCGAAAGCGAGUCUGAAUAGGG